CGAAUACCUUUUCCCCAGUGGGAGCACGCCUCGUUUUUCUGUUUUCUCUGUCAACCUAUUCACAUUCCCGCCCCGUUUCUCCUUCAUCUUCAUCCCACCUGCAAUGUCCUAGAAAACUCGGGAGGAGCAAGGAAGAGAGGACA
ensembl:ncRNA F22E12.8 ncRNA